AGAUUGAACGCUGGCGGCAUGCUUUACACAUGCAAGUCGAACGGUAACAGGCCGCAAGGUGCUGACGAGUGGCGAACGGGUGAGUAAUAUAUCGGAACGUGCCCAGUCGUGGGGGAUAACGCAGCGAAAGCUGUGCUAAUACCGCAUACGAUCUAUGGAUGAAAGCGGGGGAUCGCAAGACCUCGCGCGAUUGGAGCGGCCGAUAUCAGAUUAGCUAGUUGGUGGGGUAAAAGCCUACCAAGGCGACGAUCUGUAGCUGGUCUGAGAGGACGACCAGCCACACUGGAACUGAGACACGGUCCAGACUCCGUACGGGAGGCAGCAGGUGGGGAAUUUUGG
rnacentral:rRNA from 1 species